GGUCAUUCUUAAUGUUUGCUUAGCCUCUUGUACUCUGACUUAGUAUUGUGAGUACUAAACCUUAGCCAUAGUAUUAAACCUCCUACUAUUUUUUUUCAUAGUUCCAGAACAAAUAAUUAUUUGCGUUCCUAUUUAAUAGUUCCUAAGAAUCUGGGCGUUGCCAGAUCAUCUUUGAGACAAUUCUGAUUGGUCCCACUAAGAGCAAGCCGCUGUGUAAAAAUAGCAACUGCAGGGAGAUAUUCCCAAGACAAAGUCAGAGCUGCCAAUCAACUCCAGCCCUGGGCAUCCACUCCACUUCCACAAGGACGCUAUGCUGGUGAAGUUCUCUGUGGAAUGGAAGACUGAACUAGCUAGUUUGAGUACUUAUAAAUACAAAAUAAAUAAACGGAGUUAAAUUACUUUAUUAUUACAAUGCAGAAAUGAGGAAGUGUAAUAGCCAGCUAGUCUUGGAAUAUGGCACUGUGAAUGAAAUGAUUAAUUGCAUAUUCAUCUGGUCUCAGAUACAGGACAUUCUCUUGCAUAGGUUAAAUGUAUUAAUGGUAGAGAAUUAUGCAAAAAAUACUCAUUUUCUCCAAUACCAGAACAUACAGGAAGCAAGUAAAGGUAAUUUCACAAUUCAUCUAAUUUCUUGUACUACUAAAGAAAAGUAAAACUUGAGGAUCAGUAGUGGCCAUGGUAUGGUUUGACUAUGUCCCCUCCAAAAUCUAGUGUUGAAACUUAAUGACCAUUGUGAUGGUAUUAAGAGGUGAUUGAGUUGUAAGAGCUCCUUCCCUCAUGAUACGAUUAAGUCCCUCAUAAAAGAGGGCUCAAGCAACAUUAGAUUUUCUUGUGUCUGAAGCUAUGUGAAGCCAGAUGAGGACACAGUGUUCUUGUCUUCCGGAAAAUAUAGCAAGAAGGCAUAAUGUUGGAAGCAGAGAGUAGCCUUUGCCAGACAACAGAUCCUACUGGUGCCUAGAUCUUGGACAUCCAGCCUCCAGAACUGUGAAAAAAAUAAAUUUAUGUUCUUCAUAAAUUAUUUGGUCUCAGAUAUUGUGUUAUAAUAGCACAAAAUGGAGUAAGGCACCAUUAGUUUUUUAUUGGUGUGGAAACUGUAGCUGAAUAGGUUUGCUGAUUUAUUUCCAGAAACAUACGACUAAUGGAAGUUUUCAUUCUUAACGAAACAGUCUUUCCCCUGUAUUAUUUUCUACAUUCCCAAUCCAGAGGUAUAAUGAUAACAGGAUCACACUUCUAGGACAUAGAUCUUAAAUGCAUGUUUUGCUCAAAACUACAUUUUCAAAAAUAAAAAAAAAAAACGAUGUUUUGCAUCUUCUAAGAUCUAAGAAUAUUAUCUGUGAAAAUAAAUUGCUUAUGUGCUUGACAAUUUAGUACCACAUUGUAAAACCAUCUUAUAGACUAGUGAUAAAAAAGAACAAUUGAUAAGUAAAACAUUUUAGUAC
ensembl:lincRNA